rnacentral:lncRNA from 1 species
AGGGACUCGUUGCUCUCAAAGACUAGUCUUUGGUAGCAUGUACUCAGUUAGAAAACUUGUGGAUGAGUUUGUGACACAAUAAAAAGGACAGGGCUUUAGGUGUCAGGAAAAUUGAAUCUUAAGUCAUAUUCUGCCACUGGCUUAUUCUGUGUCUUUGUCUUUAAUAAAACAGUUAUUAAUUCAUGCCAUACAUAUUUAUUGAGCAACUGCUAAGUGUAAGGCCCUAUGCUACAAAAUGAUGUAAAAGAUGAGCAAAAAUUGAAAUAGACACUUGACCUUGGGGAACUGGCCUUAUGAGGUUAAUCUGUGACACACAGCACCCAUAGAUAAUGUGUCUGGCACAUGGCAGAAGCUCAAUACACUGUAUUUUCUUUUCCAUUUCUUAGGACAGAAACUUCACUUUUCUUAUUGUCAAUGUCUUCAUCUAAAAAAUAAAAAUGACAAGGUAUCAGGACUGGCAUCAUGGAGAGGAUGAUUUUCAAGAUUUCUUCUGGUUCCAAACUUCACAUAUUCAUUAAUUCCAGGAUAAUAAUUGGGCACAGAUGCAAUAUUUAAGGUGCUUGUGGUGGGUGUAGCUCUGCAAUAAGAAAAUAAGAAGUUGCUUUUUCUGUUUAAUUUUUACUUCACUGUUCUAUUUUAAUACCAUGAAUUAUAAAUCCAUGCAAUAUGCAAUCCAGUUUACUAGCUUACCUUGUGAAGAAUCCAGUUUGAGACUUGCAUACAAAGUGAACUAUUGCCGAAAACAUUCCAUGAACCAAAUCCACCUCCCGCUGUUGUCUCUUGCAGGUGUCCCAGACUCAAGCUGUGCUCAGCCUUCAUCAGAGACAGGUACAGAUGGAGGCAGUAGCAUAGUAAAACAUCAAAAUCAAGCAUCCAGCAUCUGAAUCCAAACAACACAAAGAACAAGGUAAGAUGCCAACAGAUAAGUACCCAAAACAGAGUUUAUGUUUUCCAAAGGUUUUCAAUUAUAUCCUUAUCACGCUCUGCAACUUCAUUUGCUGUCCCCAUUAGUUAGUUCCCUAUUGGCUAUGUUUGCAAGGUCAUCAUUUCUUAACAUUAUUUAAAAGCCUUUAACUAUGUAAUCUCUUUGCCUCUGGAGAUAACAAUCCUAGUUUGUGUUAUAAAGAGUAUUGCGUGUUGUUUUCCAUACAGCAUUUUUAGAUCCCUUAUCCCAUUAGGCCUUCAUGACCCUUUGCACCAUGUAGGACACGAAAUUUUGUUUCAGGUGUCCAAAUGAGACUUGGAGAAGCUGAGUGGCUUACAUGAGGCCACAGAAAUGAUAAGGGCCUCAGCUCCUCUUUGCAUCUGUAAACACACCUUAUAUCCUAAGAACACUCAAGGGGGUUCUCAGAAAGCUCCUUAAAGUGAUAAGUUCAGAAGAGCAUCCAUGUAAUUAUGGUUCCAUAGAUUGCUCUGGGUUUCUGUAUUUGGGACUGGAAAGAUCUGAGAAGCUCUGACUAAAAUAUGGUCACAUUACAUUUGCUCUGCAUUUUCCUCACUGUGCAACAUGUAGAUAAUAACUGCAUCUGGAAGUAUCCCCCAAAUGAAAUUGCAGCAGCUUGGGGGAUGAUUUAUUGUCAUUGUCACAGUCCUGUCUGAUGGUCUCAGAACCCCAGGAAGGGGUGUUUAGGCCACUAUAGAAGAAAACACUGGAGCCCAGGAAGAGUCAGAAAUUUCCCUUACUGUUUUAGAUUUUCUCACUGCUUAAUGUACUAUGGAAUUAUUUUAGCAUUCAAUAUCUAUCUUAAAGUGAUGUUACUCCAGAGUUGCUCUGAAUGUUAUAGAGGGAGCUAUGAUAAUUGGGCACAUACAGGUAUCAAGUAUUCAGCUUGAUGCUUUAAAUACAUAAUUUAUUUAAUAUUAGUAAAAUUAUAAGGAAGUUUUAUUUGCCUACAAUUUAUGAUAUUAAAAUUGAACCAAGGAGGUGACUAUUUAGUAUAAGUCAAUCAAGUUUAAGAUUAGCAAGGACAAAAUUCUAUUAUAAAAUGUUGCCUAAAAUACAAGUGCUUCUCUCAUAUUAACCAAUAAUGGUUUAUUAAUCAAAUGGCUCUUAAAUCUAACUAUCUAUAUAUUGAAUUUCUUGCCAUUUUUUUCUAUGAAGCAUCCUUUAUUUUCCUACUUCAACUUCAUAGCCAGCAUUUUCAAGGCUCCAAAUUUUAUUGCGACCAAUCAUGUCACCAACCUUUCUCUACAUUAGCAUUUCUUAAUGUUUGAGCUUUAAGCCUAUGAGUCAAUACAAGAAUCCAUAAUUAGACGUGUGUUUUCUCCAUCAGUGGACUCUAUUGGUGGAAUAGUUUCAUAUUGGAUUCUGCAAAAAUAUAACAUUUCAAUAUCUACUUUUGAGGUUAUAAUAUUGUAAGCCACAUCCCUAGAUACUUGUUAUAAUUAAAACUUUAGUUUAUUGGACUCCUAUGUGUUUUCUAACAUUAGGUGAUGUAAUAUUUGCAACAAGCCUACAUGUUAAGCAUUGUUCACAAUUUACAGGGGGUAACCUCAAAUUCAGAAGAGUUAAAUAAUCAGUCAAAGUUGCAUAGAUAAUAAAUGAUGAGGCUUCCAUCUGAACACAAUUCUGGCCAACUUUGACAUCUAUUGUUGUUCAGUGCUAACUUCAGGUCUUAGAAGCAAGCAAUGUUUUCAUGCAAGGGUGUGUCAGGAUCUUCUUUGUUUUAUACAUAUUAAGUUCUGUUAUAGACCCAAGCUACAGACAGAACUUUAGCUCAGAGGUUUUGAAAUCCCAGAAAAUAUGUCAUGAAACUCAACAUUUUAAUAAUACUAAACUAUUUUUAGUUAAUUCUAUUUUUCAUCAGAAGCAAGAGAUAGUACAAGAGUAGCUGAUGCAAAAUCAAAUUGCCAGCCAAAACAAUUCUAACUUUUCCUAGAUAAGCCUCUGCAAUCAAUAUAUUAUUGAGCCGAGAAAAAAUAUCUAGCAAUGCAGGGAAUGUAAGUUUACAUUAAUGACCAGGGUCUUGGUCCAGCCUGCUUACACUCAAAAUUUAUCUUAGAUACAUUGAAUGAAUGCUUAUUAUGAGAAAAUUGGCUGUUGAGAACAGGAAUCUGCCUCAAAAUGUUAAGAUCUAUUUGUAAGCUUAGCUAACCUUCAUGUAUUUCAAGACAAGCAUAAACUAUAAAUCCUGGAUUAAUAUACAUGUGGUAGAGACAAGAAAAAGUAUGAAAGACAAAGCAAGCUUUUGAUUAUAUAGGGACACAAAUUACUCCAUCCUAGAGUUGGAAAGGACAUUAGAGAUAAGUGGGUCUGACCUUUUAUCAUAUUUUAUACAUUAUAAUGGUAAUAUAUUCCUAGGAAAGAAAACACAAAAACUCUGAAAAGAAAACCAGGAAAAAUAACUCACACCUAGUCCUAACACUCAAACACAAACACAAUAUACUGUGCAGAAUUUUUGUUUUUUCUUUCUAUGAAAAAAUUAUUUUAACACAGUUUAAACCACAUUGUAUAUAGUUUCAUAUAUAUAUAUAUAAAAAUUGUAUAACUAUAUAUAAUUUGUAUAGUUUGUUUUAUUCAAUAGUAUAUCAUAAACAUUAUUCUAUGGGAUUAUAUAGUAUUUCAAAUAAUAGGCCAAGAGAGAUGUCUCAUGCUUGUAAUCCUAGCACUUCAGGAGGCUGAGACAGGAGGAUUGCUUGAAUCCAGCUGUUCAAGCCAGACUGGGCAACAUAGCAAGACUUUGUCUCUACAAAAAAAUAAAAAUAAAGUUAGCCAGGCUUCAUGGUACAUGCCUGUAGUCCCAGCUACAAGGAAGGAUGAGGUGGGAAGAUUGCUUGAGCCCAGGAGUCCAAGAUUUCAGUGAGCCAUGAUUGUACCACUGUACUCCAGCCUGAGUAACAGAGCAAGAAUCUCUCUAAAAAUAAUAGUUAUAAUAAUUUUAAUGUUUAAGUAAUAUUCUACUUGGUGAAAAGAUCAUAGUUUGCUUAGGUAAUCUCUUAGAAUUGGAUGUUUUUACUAUUUCCCAUUUGGGACCAUCAUAUAAAAUUCUACAACAAUCAUUUCCAAAAUCAAGUUUUUAGUUUCUUCAUAUUAAUUUUUAAACUAGGUUCCCAAAUGUGUAAUUACUAAGUAAAUAUAUAUGUAUGUUCAAAUUGCUUUUCAAAUGGUUCUGUUACUCGUAAUGAAAAGAAAAUCUCAUUGUCCACACUUUCACUAGUAUUACAGAACACAAACACACAUACACCUACACAUGCUGUUGCAGGAAUCAGAGGACUGGAGAGACCAAAUGGGUGAAAUAGAAGGAUUUAUUGAGUGCACUUCAGGUCCAGCAGAUUCACAUCCAAAAAGUUGAGCCCUGAACAAACACAGGGUUUCACUUUUAUACAUGCAACCAAGGGGGUUGGCCAUCUAGUGGCAUGAAACUUACAGGGCAGGCAAGCAGGCUUACAGAAACAGAACAAAGGCAGUGAAUCAUACAGUGACAGCUUUUGCAACUUGAGGAAAAACAGGAACUUAUCAAGCUAAGGCAGGGUUUACAGCUGGUACCUGUCUUACUCAAGUAUGUCUUGUGACCUUGUUAUUUUACACGGAAGAGAAACAGGAAUCUGUAAAACUUUGUGAAGUAACCUUGAGUUUCACUAAGGAAGGAUUUACAAAAAUGGAGGGGGAAGCUGGGAGAGGAGAAAAACCUGUUUUCUCGUCCUUGCCUAUAACUGGGAGGAGAGGGGGCUCUGAAGCACAUUCCUUAAGGGCUCUGGUUUUGCAGAUAAUGUUAUGUUAUCAAAUCCUUUUCAGAGCUCUGCUGCCUAUCGCUAGGUUUUGGAGCGAGUCAUCCUAGCAAGAGAAGACUUGUUCUUUUCUUUUACUUGUUCUUUCUUUUUACAUUUUCUGCUUCAUUCCCCCAAUUUGAUGCUUCUUGUAAAUGAAGUUUUAUAGAAAUCAUCAUCAUCAGAAUUUAUCCCUUCAUGAGGCCCUAGUUUCCUAUUCAGCAGGGGUUGAUAUUAGUAGUUUGCCUGGUUACGGGAGCCUCAAUAGCUGACUGCACGUUCUUAACAAGGAGGGGCAAAAGACAAGGAAGUAUGAGGGAGCCCCCUAGUAUGGCCAGAACUAUUCCUACUAAGGUUUUAAAUCCUCCAAGAGAUGGAAACCAGCCCCUAAAGAGUGAAUCUGGAGACCAAGUCUGCCCUGGGACAUGGGCUAAUUUCUGGAUUCUGGCAGCUGUUUGUUUGAUGACUUUUCUAUUGUCAUCAAUCUCUAGACAGCAAUUAGUUAGGUUGAACUUUCUGCAUACUUCUCCUUCUUCAGCUAGGAGGUAGUCUAAGGCCAGUCUAUUUUGGUAGAUGGCAUUUCUCAUUUGUGUAGCUUGCCAGGCUAACAGAUUUAAGACUGUUACAGUAUCAUUAGUAAUUAGCUCAAGUACUGCCUGUAAUUUUAUGAUGCGGUUCAGCAUGUAUAUAGGGGUGCAGUAUCAUCCCCACUUUCCAUCUUCUGUCCAGGUGGCUGGGCCAUAGUAUUAGAUUAUUCUUUCAGGGGACCAUUUAUUGUCUUUCCAAUUCCCUAUGGUUAUACCAUCUCCUAUGGUUAUGCCCCUCUUAUUUUUCCUUUUAGUUACAUCAUAGAUGGGGUACCCUGAGACUUCCCCUUGCCUUAGCGGGAUUAGAAAGAAAGAGGGCUUAAUUGUUCUGAGUACACAGGCCCUUGACCA